rnacentral:tRNA from 1 species
CGGGGCGUAGCGCAGUCCGGUAGCGCACUUGCUUCGGGAGCAAGGGGUCGGAGGUUCAAAUCCUCUCGCCCCGA